rnacentral:rRNA from 1 species
UGGGGAAUAUUGGACAAUGGGCGAAAGCCUGAUCCAGCCAUGCCGCGUGUGUGAAGAAGGUCUUCGGAUUGUAAAGCACUUUAAGUUGGGAGGAAGGGUUGUAGAUUAAUACUCUGCAAUUUUGACGUUACCGACAGAAUAAGCACCGGCUAACUCUGUGCCAGCAGCCGCGGUAAUACAGAGGGUGCAAGCGUUAAUCGGAAUUACUGGGCGUAAAGCGCGCGUAGGUGGUUUGUUAAGUUGGAUGUGAAAUCCCCGGGCUCAACCUGGGAACUGCAUCCAAAACUGGCAAGCUAGAGUAUGGUAGAGGGUGGUGGAAUUUCCUGUGUAGCGGUGAAAUGCGUAGAUAUAGGAAGGAACACCAGUGGCGAAGGCGACCACCUGGACUGAUACUGACACUGAGGUGCGAAAGCGUGGGGAGCAAACAG